UCUUCUACCUCUGAUGGCUUUUUUAUAUCCCAGGAAAAGUAUAUACAGGAUCUUCUUGUUCAUGCUGCUCUUACCGAUGAGCGCAUUGUUGAGACUCCAAUGGAGCUCAAUGUUCACCUCCGUGAUAAUGAUGGUGACCCCUUGCCUGAUCCGACACGUUAUCGUCAUCUUGUUGGGAGUCUUCUAUAUCUAGCUGUCACUCGUCCGGAUAUCUCUUAUCCGGUUCAUAUUCUGAGUCAGUUUGUCUCUGCUCCAACUUCGGUUCACUAUAGUCACCUCCUUCGUGUUCUCCGAUAUCUUCGGGGCACGAUCUCUCAUCGUCUAUUCUUUCCUCGCUCCAGUUCCGCCUAUUCGGAUGCUACAUGGGCUAGUGAUCCCUCUGAUCGCCGCUCACUUUCUGCUUACUGUGUUUUUAUUGGUGGUUCUCUCAUUGCCUGGAAGACGAAGAAACAGAUGCAGUUUCCCGUUCGAGUGCAGAGGCUGAGUUAU
rnacentral:rRNA from 1 species